GCGCCUCAUACUCCUCCCCACUCCCACCUCGCGGUAACCCUAGCGCACGCACCACGUCACUGCCGUCGUCCCCCACCUUUGCCCACACCAUGAGGGAGAUCUAGGGCUCAGCCCUCACGCCGCCGAGCGCGGAGCCCUCCACCGGGGCGCUGUCUUGUUCGUGCCGCGUGUCGAGAUUGGGCCUCGCAAGAUGGAGCCUUCCAAGAAGCUCAGCGCCUACCUCCCGUCGGGUCCCGGAUCCUCCCCUCCGUCUUUCCCUCCUCCGCCUAGGUUCCUUUGUUUUAAUUCUCUGCCACAAGCUGGGAGUUGAAAUCAUUGCGAUGCAUGGGCCUUCUAACAUUGACAUUACUCAAGAGAAAUCUGAACGCUUGACCUCAUGGUAGUUUAAUGAUGAGGUCAUCAGUUUGCUUCUUCCUUGUUAAUCUGAUCCUGUUGCAUGUGCUGGUGGAAUCAUCACUUCAAAGUUGGAUACUUAGCAUAGGGCGAUGCUACUUGGAUGGUCCAGAUUGCAAGCAGAUUGAACACUACUUAAGCCCAUACUUUUUAUCAAGAUCAUCACUUUCAUCCCUGGCAUUCUUGAUCACGUGUACCUUUCUGGGAAUAUCUUUUGAUCUGUUGGCACCAAUCCCUUGGAUAAAGCAUAUAAUGAAGAAAUUUAGAAAUAAUGACAUGGUUCAGUUGGUACCUGAAGAAAAUGAGGACUAUCUAAUGAUGCAGAAUGGUGAAGAAACUAAUAAUUUGACAGCACCUCUGAUGCCUGAGAGAGAAGACCCUUUUGGAUAGUAUCGAGGGGCAUGAUCUUUCUCUAUACCCGUUAAACAGAAGCUUCCACAUGCCAAAGCAUACUUUGGCUACCGAUAUCUUGUGGACAAUUACAAUUUCUUGUUUGUGUACAGAGUUAGAGGAUUUCGAGCAGGGAAUGAUGGGAAGCUGAUGGACAGAGUGUUGUGCAUCAUGCAAUUCUGUGUGAUCUUCCUUUCUGCAGUGCUGCUCUUCUUUGCGGUUCAGGGUGAUUCAUGAAGCUCCAAGGUAUAUGUACCCUUGGGAUGUUAGUGUUCUAUAAGCUGCUGCCUUCUAGAAGUGAUCGCUUCCAGCCAUCUUUGUUAGAACUUAGAAGGGAUGCAAACAAUUAAUAGCUUUGUAGAUGAUCUCACAGAUUAUAGUGUUUUUUCACAACCUGAUCUGGAUUAUAGUCUGUAUCAAUCCUGAAGGGAAAAAACUUAAGAUCAACACACUCUUUUGUUUCAUUACAAUGGCAUGCUUUUAUCAGUGAUCUUAGUCGCAUCACAGGAAAAUAAAUAUUAUACAAAUAAAUAUUAGGAGUCAGCCCCACAUGUAACUUAUGUGUAAUUUUAUAUUCAGAUUUCCUUAUCUUCUAUUGUGUAAUGCUAGAAAUUACAUAACAAAAGGAUUGUCUGCCUCUGCUACAGCUGUCUGACUUGCACUAUAUCUUUUAAACAAUUGAUCUAGUCUAGGUGAGGCAUAAUGCAUAUGGUCUGUUCACCUGAGCUGUCUCCAUGUUGUUCAACUGAAUAGAAAUAUUUAAUAUAUUUUUUGUAUAACUCUAGGUAGUAAUAUUUUUUGUUUGUCAUGCAGAAGCUGUUUCAUACUGAUUUUUGCUAAUUAUAUUUCCAUGCUCUACUCUAGCCGGACAAGAACUUCAUAUCAUUAGGUUUAUCAAACAUGUAAAAGUAGACCAGCAACAUUCAUAGCUGUUGCUUAAGUAUCCCUGUCUACAAUUGGUCCUAACUCCUAACAUCACUUAAUAGGAACAGCAGGUCAUGCUGCUAAUAGUGUGCACCUAACACUUUGUAAAGGUGGAAAGGAGAUUAAUGCUAAUGGUUGUCGUUAAAUUAGGAAGGCUUCAAUGGAAUUGCAAAUUGACAGAUCAGUUUCCUUAAGAUUCACCCCUCCUACCAAUCAUUCUACUACUUUUUAGUUCCAUACAUUGAUUCCUUUUAUUUAGACCAGAGAUAUGUACUGGUGUGGUAAUCUCUUGCUCUAAUGGUCCGUGGUGGACAAAGCUUUCCUUGCAAGACUGUACAUGCUUACUUCCUCACUGAAAUAGGACAAGAAGAGAAAGAUAUGUCCAUCUCUUGCUCUAAUGGUCCGUGGUGGACAAAGCUUUCCUUGCAAGAUUGUACAUGCUUACUUCCUCACUGAAACAGGACAAGAAGAGAAAGAUAUGUCGGCGCUUAUAAUUCAGAAACUUUGAACCAUAAUCUACUAUUCUAUUCUACUCUGUGUCUUUUUUUGAUAAUGUAAAUUAUAGUCCACUACCUUCUAGUUCUACUACGGUAGUAUUUUUUAUGUAUUUCUUGGUACGUAAUAACAAGCUGUGGUAAUUCACAAUGGGUAAAGACAUCUUUUUUUUUACUUCUUGGGGCAGGAAUACAUAUCAUUCAGCCCUAUGCGCAGCUAGCCUUGCAAGUCACGAACAGCGUGCACAACACAAAGGCAAACGUUCCAACGCUUGUUGCCGGUGCUCCUCUGGAAGUAAGGAGAUGAAAAAAUGGGAUGAACCAGCUCAUGCACGCAUCAUGGUGUCAUUGCAAUCACAUAUUAUAUGCCAAUGAAAGGUUAAGUAUGUGGGAGAUGACGGGGAGGAGCAGAACGGCUUGCAGAUGACGGGCUUGAAUCUCAUGGACAAGACGAUGACCGUCUGGGGAGCUAGGAUUGCCUCUUCAGGUUAUGCAAACAUGAAUUGAUGCUGUUUUUGGUAGAUGUUGUUCAUGCUAACAUGAAUGGAUGCUGGACGAUAUUGUUUGUGGCAUAGGCAGUAAAGGUUGUCGAUCUGAUAGAUAUUUGGCUAUAUUGUAUUGACGAUCUGUUAGAUGUUUGGCUAUAUUGUAUUAUCUCUACCAGAGACGAAUUUGAAAAAUUCAAUUUUUGCUACAUUGGAUUUGGUUUGAUACAAA